rnacentral:rRNA from 1 species
UACGUAGGGGGCCAGCGUUGCUCGGAAUUACUGGGCGUAAAGGGUUCGUAGGUGGUGCGGCAAGUUGGAAGUGAAAUCUCUGGGCUUAACCCAGAGGCUGCUUUCAAAACUGCCGUGCUCGAGUGCGAGAGAGGCCAGUGGAAUUGCAGGUGUAGCGGUGAAAUGCGUAGAUAUCUGCAGGAACACCGGUGGCGAAGGCGGCGUCCUGGACCAACACUGACACUGAUGAGCGAAAGCCAGGGGAGCAAACGGG